CUCUUUCGAUUUCUGAAUCUGUUCCCAAUCCCAAAUUGCUCACUCGGUUUGUUCCAAUGUGUUAGGUUAUGAAUUGUCCUCAGUGCUUGUAUCUCGUCUGAUAGUUUUCGAGCGUGAGAGAUCUUUGCAGAUGGAAUCUCUGUUUGUCACUUUUUCAUGAUCUCAUUGUUGAUUCGAUUUCGGAGCUUAGCUACGGAAGACGUUAUGAUUUGCUUGGGCUGAACGGUUGUGGGAAAUCCCCGCUUUUAUCCGCAAUAUGAUGCAGAGAGUUUCCAAUUCCUGAACAUGUCCUCGCUGGAGAAGGAAGCAGAAGCUUUGCUUGAGCAGGUUUGUCCGGACGACAUUAGGCUUUGUGUCCCGAACGGUUAUGCGGAUUCGUCUUUAGCUAGAUGCUAACUACAUUGAUGGGGGUGGCGAGCUUCUCGAUCGUAUCUUCGAGAAGUUUCAGCCCGCAAAUGCAGGCAGAGGAAACAAAAGGGUUUUUCUUGUGGCUGGAGAAAGCGAAUUGCAUUGGGGAGGGCACUUUCCAUGAACCGAACCAUCCUUUUGCUUGACGAGCCAACUGGUCACUUAGCUUGUGUCUGGUUAGAGAGGAGAAUCUAAAGAAGUUUGACCGUGUUCUUGUCGUGGAGUCCCACUCCCAGGAUCUCUUGAAUGGUGUCUGUACAAGCAUUAUCCACACGCGAAACAGGAAACUGAAGUACUACUAAACUGGUAAUCAACCCGUUCCAAACGGGAAGAAAACCAGAUGGGAGCAGGAGCAGAUUUCUGUUUCAUUGAUAUGAAAAUGAGCUAUUCAAAAUGUAUUUAUAGAAACACUGAACCACAUACUCUAAUAAGGGAAUAAGAUCCUCGUCUUCCGGUUUGUUGCUG